ensembl:lncRNA
GAACAAAGCGUUUUAUUUUUGCAGCAUCUGUGAGUGAGCAGUGGUCCCCUGUUUAAGCAAACAUAUCGCUGCGCGUUUGCGGCCGAGUUCAGGGAAUAAUCGAGGUAAUGUCUAUUGGGGUGCGCGCAGGUAUGCCGAGGAAGCGGCUCGGAGCUGGGAAGAGGGGGUGGCACAACCAGGGAGCUGCUGGCGAGCAGGGCAGCCCAUUGUUAACCAAUUAAACACGCGGCUAAUGAAAAAAAAAAUACACGUCGAGAAGGCGCUGCUGCAGUCCCGUGGACGCAGCGGGGGAAAUGCCGUCUGAAACCUCUGCUCAGGCAUCGGGAUGCCUAUGCUGGAGGAAUCCGAGCUUCCCGUUUUCCUUCUCUAUUUGAUUUUCUAUCCCUUCCCUUUUUUUUCUGCGAAGCCCGCGAAGCAGUUAGCCCCUGCGCACAGCAGCAGUAGAUAUCUGGCCAGCAGGCAGAGGGAUGAAUUCCCACCAGCUCCAUCAGCUCUGGCCUGUGGAAGAGGCAGCCCCGAGCCAGGCAGAGAGCCAUGGAUUCACCCACUGCGAGGCGACGCUCUGCGUUUUAUUUCCACUAUUACACCACGAAUUUGGCUCUGCACAGAGCGGGGAGCUGCUGGGGCACUGAGACAGUCCCGGGAGAACUCUCCGCGUGGAACGAACGGGAAAACCGUGUCCAUAACACUCUUAAACAUCGCUCAGCGUAUGUGGUUGUAUUCAACUUCUUGCCGGUUGGGAUCCGAACGCCUUUCACAAGGAAUGGAGCUUUCAUCUGCCCGGCUCCCCAGCUGAAAUCUAAUUUUCCCAUUGUAAUACUAAUAAAAUGCCGUCUAACUUGCGCUGUCAAACAGUAAAAUAGUAUUACACGCACUUUUUAUUGGUAAUAACUGUGGCAAAUUAACAUGCCUACACAGAGACAUUAAGGCUUUUACACAGUGCGUUUUUUAUUUAAAUCAUCUAUUCAUUAGGUCAGCAUUUACCUUCCCAGAUUUUAAGCUCUGCUCUCUCCUUCUCUUCUUUUAAUUCACUUUGCUCCAUCCAGCGUAGCUGAGCAGAGAGCCGAGAGCUUUCCAUAGCCCUUGCCCCUUCUCAAUUAUCGCUCACCACCCUCCUGGGAGGCAGGUUUUGAGCUUUGCCAUUUCUGAGCUACCUCUCCCCAGUGCCAGGGGGUGAAGUUUUCGGGCGGUGAAGUUGGAAGCCAAAGGAGACAUCCCGCUCCCCGCUGCUCUCCCCCCGCUCUCUGCACCGCGCACUCCGUGCGCGCCCGGCUGCGCGGAGCCCGGCGCUCGGUGCCAGUGUACCCUCGGCCUCGCUCCCCGGCGUGUCACUCGGGAAGGGCAAAGCAGCGCAAACCGCGCUGGCACGGAGAUUUCCCUGCCUCAGGAAUGCUCCCCGCGGCCCGGAGAGUCGCGCCCGCCCAUCGCCCGGACAAUGCCGGUUACCCAAUUGCCGUGACACCGGCCCCAGCAACUUUUGAAGCAGAGCGAAGUGGAACUUGGUGGGAUUUGGAGAUGCAACACAAUGCGCAGCACAAACAGUUUCCUGUGACAUAACCACACAAUGGGCUGGGAACGCUUUCUCCUUUCUCUCAUGAAAUGGGGGGCCGCCACCAUCUCCCGGAGACAACGACGUGAAAUAAUAGGCUAUUGUAUUUAAAAAUAACAAAUGACACACGCAUACUGUGCGAGCGGACUUGUCCAGUUCUUCAGUACAAGAAGCCCUCCUUCCGAGGCUCCCUCCGGCCGAGGCGCGCCCCGAGCCAACGAGGAGACGGGCGAGCCCUUACGCCGGGCAGGGUUAGAGCAGCAAGCAGGCAAAACUAAAAGGAAGAAACGGAGGGAAAGAACUUUUCUUUCCCUUUCCUCGGGAUGGAACCUUUAGUUCGAGCCGCGCAUGGGAGGGGGCGCUGUGGCAAUGGGUUCCCCGGCGCUCCGAGCGCUCGCAGCGCGGUUGUUUAUGUAAGCGCCUUCCCUCGGGUUUCUUUUCACACGGCACUCGGUGCCUUUGGGAACCCUAUUAUCUGCUGUCGCCCGUGGUACCUGCACGGAGACGUGCGCUGCUCGCAGGAGCUGUGGCCGCUUCCCCGAACCCCUUCUUCUUUUUCUUCCUUUACAGUAAGAGUGCCAUUGCUCACUCCGUUUUCAAAACACAGCGAAAGUAGGCUCUGCCGAGGGAAGCGCUCAGGAUUUAACGCCUCUCUAUAACACACAAACGCGCUCAAAUAUCCAAAAAAUAUCCUCCUCAUCCCUUAUUUACGGCUUUUUUUUUUUUUUUUUUUCCUUUUUCUUUUAUUCUCCUCCAGGGUAUCCGUGUCUUUGAAAUGUUGCGCUCACAACGGGCAGCCUUCAGGAGGAUUUAGCUCCCCCCUUUUGGGAUGUUAU